GACGAACGCUGGCGGCGUGCUUAACACAUGCAAGUCGAACGGAAAGGCCCUGCUUUUGUGGGGUGCUCGAGUGGCGAACGGGUGAGUAACACGUGAGUAACCUGCCCUUGACUUUGGGAUAACUUCAGGAAACUGGGGCUAAUACCGGAUAGGAGCUCCUGCUGCGUGGUGGGGGUUGGAAAGUUUCGGCGGUUGGGGAUGGACUCGCGGCUUAUCAGCUUGAUGGUGGGGUAGUGGCUUACCAAGGCUUUGACGGGUAGCCGGCCUGGGAGGGUGACCGGCGACAUUGGGACUGAGAUACGGCGCAGACUCCUACGGGAGGCAGCAGUGGGGAGUAUUGCACAAUGGGCGGAAGCCUGAUACAGCGACGCCGCGUGCGUGAUGACGUCCUUCGGGUUGUGAACCGCUUUCGCCUGUGACGAAGCGUGAGUGACGGUAAUGGGUAAAGAAGCACCGGCUAACUACGUG
rnacentral:rRNA from 1 species